GGGGCUGUAGCUCAGUGGUUAGAGCAGGGAACUCAUAAUUCCUUGGUCGUCGGUUCAAGUCCGACCGGCCCUA
rnacentral:tRNA from 2 species